rnacentral:rRNA from 1 species
AGUGAACGCUGGCGGUAGGCCUAACACAUGCAAGUCGAACGGCAGCACAGUAAGAGCUUGCUAUUACGGGUGGCGAGUGGCGGACGGGUGAGGAAUACAUCGGAAUAUACUUUUUCGUGGGGGAUAACGUAGGGAAACUUCCGCUAAUACCGCAUACGACCUACGGGUGAAAGCAGGGGAUCUUCGGACCUUGCGCGAUUGAAUGAGCCGAUGUCGGAUUAGCUAGUUGGCGGGGUACAGGCCCACCAAGGCAACGAUCCGUAGCUGGUCUGAGAGGAGGAUGAGCCACACUGGAACUGAGACGAGGCCCAGACCCCUAUGGGACGCAACGGUGGGGUAUAGUAGACUAGGGGCGCGAGGCUAGUCCGGACAUGCCGCGUCGGGGGAAAAAACAAUCGGGUUUUAGAGGCCUUCUGUUGGGAAAGAAAAGCAGCAGGUUGAUACCCCGCUGUUCUGACGGUACCCAAAGAAUAAGCACCGGCUAACUUCGUG